rnacentral:rRNA from 1 species
UACGUAGGGGGCAAGCGUUGUCCGGAAUUAUUGGGCGUAAAGCGCGCGCAGGCGGCUUACUAAGUCUGGUGUGAAAGCCCACGGCUCAACCGUGGAGGGCCAUUGGAAACUGGUAAGCUUGAGUGCAGGAGAGGAGAGCGGAAUUCCUGGUGUAGCGGUGAAAUGCGUAGAUAUCAGGAGGAACACCCGUGGCGAAGGCGGCUCUCUGGCCUGUAACUGACGCUGAGGCGCGAAAGCGUGGGGAGCAAACAGG